AGUGAACGCUGGCGGUAGGCCUAACACAUGCAAGUCGAACGGCAGCACAGUAAGAGCUUGCUCUUACGGGUGGCGAGUGGCGGACGGGUGAGGAAUACAUCGGAAUCUACUUUUUCGUGGGGGAUAACGUAGGGAAACUUACGCUAAUACCGCAUACGACCUACGGGUGAAAGCAGGGGAUCUUCGGACCUUGCGCGAUUGAAUGAGCCGAUGUCGGAUUAGCUAGUUGGCGGGGUAAAGGCCCACCAAGGCGACGAUCCGUAGCUGGUCUGAGAGGAUGAUCAGCCACACUGGAACUGAGACACGGUCCAGACUCCGACGGGAGGCAGCAGCGGGGAAUAUUGGACAAUGGGCGCAAGCCUGAUCCAGCCAUACCGCGUGGGUGAAGAAGGCCUUCGGGUUGUAAAGCCCUUUUGUUGGGAAAGAAAAGCAGCAGGUUAAUACCCCGCUGUUCUGACGGUACCCAAAGAAUAAGCACCGGCUAACUUCGUG
rnacentral:rRNA from 1 species